rnacentral:rRNA from 1 species
ACUCCUACGGGAGGCAGCAGUGGGGAAUCUUGGACAAUGGGCGCAAGCCUGAUCCAGCCAUGCCGCGUGAGUGAUGAAGGCCCUAGGGUCGUAAAGCUCUUUCGCCAGGGAUGAUAAUGACAGUACCUGGUAAAGAAACCCCGGCUAACUCCGUGCCAGCAGCCGCGGUAAUACGGAGGGGUUAGCGUUGUUCGGAAUUACUGGGCGUAAAGCGCGCGUAGGCGGAUUAGUCAGUUAGAGGUGAAAUCCCAGGGCUCAACCCUGGAACUGCCUUUAAUACUGCUAGUCUUGAGUUCGAGAGAGGUGAGUGGAAUUCCGAGUGUAGAGGUGAAAUUCGUAGAUAUUCGGAGGAACACCGAGUGGCGAAGGCGGCUCACUGGCUCGAUACUGACGCUGAGGUGCGAAAGUGUGGGAGCAAACAGGAUUAGAUACCCGUGGUAGCGACUGA